UGGUGUUAAGUGCUUACUGGAGCCCAUA
rnacentral:sRNA from 1 species